AACGAACGCUGGCGGCAUGCCUAACACAUGCAAGUCGAACGAUGCCUUCGGGCAUAGUGGCGCACGGGUGCGUAACGCGUGGGAAUCUGCCCUUGGCUUCGGAAUAACAGUUAGAAAUGACUGCUAAUACCGGAUGAUGUCUUCGGACCAAAGAUUUAUCGGCCAGGGAUGAGCCCGCGUAGGAUUAGGUAGUUGGUGGGGUAAAGGCCUACCAAGCCGACGAUCCUUAGCUGGUCUGAGAGGUUGAUCAGCCACACUGGGACUGAGACACGGCCCAGACUCCUACGGGAGGCAGCAGUGGGGAAUAUUGGACAAUGGGGGGAACCCUGAUCCAGCAAUGCCGCGUGAGUGAUGAAGGCCUUAGGGUUGUAAAGCUCUUUUACCAGGGAUGAUAAUGACAGUACCUGGAGAAUAAGCUCCGGCUAACUCCGUGCCAGCCGCCGCAGUAAUAC
rnacentral:rRNA from 1 species